GCCAAAGUAUCAGACCACAAAAAGAAUGUCACUAAGCUUUUACCGAUGGCAGGAGCCUCUGAAAUCAUCAGAAAUGCUGACGUCAAGUUUUAUGUUUCAGGUCAUUCAAACUGUUAGCGCCAUGGACAAAGAUGAUCCCAAAAACGGACAUUAUUUCUUAUACAGUCUCCUUCCAGAAAUGGUCAACAAUCCGAAUUUCACCAUCAAGAAAAAUGAAGAUAAUUCCCUCAGUAUUUUGGCAAAGCAUAAUGGAUUCAACCGCCAGAAGCAAGAAGUCUAUCUUUUACCAAUCAUAAUCAGUGAUAGUGGAAAUCCUCCACUGAGCAGCACCAGCACCUUGACAAUCAGGGUCUGUGGCUGCAGCAAUGACGGUGUCGUCC
rnacentral:sRNA from 1 species